UAAGACGGUCGUGAUGUCAGCA
rnacentral:miRNA from 1 species